ensembl:lncRNA
CACUCUUAGCUGGAGGAAAAUAGUAUAAUUCACUCAAGAAUCUGCUGUGAUACCUGACACGUCCUCAGCCUGCUGUGAACUCUACACUGUCUUUGAUUAGUGAAGAACAUUCUGGGAAAUUUGAUGGAAAUGAGAUUUCAAUUGUCCUGAAAAAAAACAGUGAAGUCCAGUUCCCAAGGAUUUGGCUUUAUUCAACAGGUGCAUGGUCCUGAAGCAAAAGAACAUGUUAACAUGGAAAGAACAAUGGGCUCUGAGUCAAAAGAAAAGAAAGAGAAUUCUGCUUCCACCAUUCAGCUAUGCGAUUUGAGUCAAGAGGGUGCCUUUUCUGAACUUUAAUUUUUUCUCUUCCUCCUGGCAGAGCUUUUGCGAGACAAAAAUAAGAUCUUGGCUAUUAAAGUACUUUUAUUUAUUUUUUUAAUUGCAAAGGGCUCUAAUGUAAUAUUGCUAAAUGUUGCUGGGGUAUCUGGGUACAGCUUAGAGUUCCAGUGCCAUUAUUACAACAGAUAAUCACCGAGUAUUUAGACCCAGCAUUAAAAACAAAUAACAUAUUUAAAGAAACGAAUAUUGGUUAAAAAAUAAAUAAGUAGGAUCAACUUAAUUGCAUUUACUAAUAGAAGAAAUUCGCUCAAAGGCAGUCUUAGAAAGAUAAAAAUGGUGACUAGAAAAUAAACACUGUAUAUCAUGUUCUCUUUACAAUAUCGUACGAAAUGGUAAGCUAUGUAGAUAACAUAAAAUAAAAUGGGUAAAUAGAGAGAAUAAGUUAUAAUAAGAUUGAAAAAAUAAAUCUAAAACAUUAAAAAUACCAAACAAGACUACAUAGAACAAAAAGAAAAAUAUGAUAAGGUAAUAAUAGGAAAAAGGAAGAUAUCAUACAGCUAACGGAGUUGAAUAACAUACUAAGAGGAGCAGAAGGAUUCAAAGCCAGGCAGCUCACUGGAUCUGCUGGCGGUUACCGCGUGGACGGUGUGUGACAGGUACGGGGGGUUUUAUGUCCCGUAUCCCAUCUAUCCUACCAAUAGCACUGCAAACCCAGGAUCAACAUUCCUAUUUCACAAAGAGGGAAGCUGAGGCCCGGAGUGACUAAAAGAUGUGCCUGAGGUGUCACAGCGCGUGGAAGUGCAGCUUCGACGGGAACGCCAGUGUGGGGGUUUCUAGAGCAGACUGGCUUCCUUCCACGCGACCCCUGAAACAGCUGGGGCUCCCCCUCAGCGUUUCCCCAAGGCUGGUGUUUGUCGUGGGUGUCACUGGGAUUUCAAGAGAGGACUGAUAUCCUUAGGGCAUGAGGUAGUCUCGCAAGAGCCCGGGAUCCACCCCCCAUCCUUUCAGUUACAGCCCCAUUUCCCCCCACCGGAACCGUGUCUUGGACACGCGCAGCCCCUGCCCAGCUGGCGUGGAGCGCCCAAGCCCGGCCUCAGCCAAUCAGCUUAUCGCAUUCCCUUCACAACAGCAAGUGUUCCAGGGAGAGCAGUCGGCUGAAGCAGGCCAAUCAGAGCCAGGGGUCUCAGAUGGCAGGGCUUCCAUUUGAGCUUAGGUUGUCGCUCGCAUCCCACCCCAUCCUGCGUAUAUGGUCGGGACUUCAACCGACAAUAUGAAGAAUCACAACGGCGAGAGCCAUCCACCCCACAAGGGGGAGCACCUGCCUGGGAAUGGGCCACAUAGGGUGCAAGACGGAGCCAGGCAGUGGAGAAAGAACCACCAUUCUGCUGGCACUGCUUUACCCUCAGUCACGCCAACGCGAAGGCAAAAUGCUCCCCGCACCUUACAAGCGCUUGAGCUGGCGAGCCCGGG